AUGGCCGACGCUGCCCUCGGCGUGGUGCAAUGGGUGGUGAGCAAGGCGCUAGCCACCGUCACGGAUAUCUUCCAGGAGGCUUGGGAGGGCACCAGGAUGUUUGGUCCCAACGUUGAGGCCCUCAGGAUGGAACUGCUGCUCGUCAAGGCCACGCUCGAAAAUGCUGCCUGCAAGGAGAUCAGCGGUCCAGCCAUGGAGGAGCUGUUGCAGAUGAUGCGGGACUCGGCGCACAAUGCUCAAGACUUGCUGGACGAGCUGGACUACUUCCGCAUCCAGGACAAGCUCCGCGGCACAUAUGAGGCUGCCGACGAGCACGGCGAGGGUGGUGUCCAGCACCUUGCCCGUGAUGUUCGCCACACUCGCAAAUCUAUUAGCAAACGGCUGGCAUCUUUCACCGGGUCCUGCUUUGGUGCCAAUGCUCGCCAUCCCCAACAAGAAGAUGCAAGACAACAUGUCAGCUGUUGCGCUUGGCAGCAUGCUAGGCACAUAACACGCGGCGAUUCCUCCUCUGCGCCAAACGCCAAUCAGGCUGAUCAGGAGGUCUCCCCGCAUCCACAUGUUCAUGGUAAUGAAGAUCGUGACAAUGCACCAGAAACACCAAUACCAGAGUUUAAUAGGCCUGAUUUCUCUCAAAGGAUGACUACCAUUGUAGAGAAACUGCAGCCUGUGCGUAAUGAGGUUGACAAGAUUUUGCAACGUUAUGACCGUAGAAGUGUUCUUCACAUUGCCCAGAGCCGUCCCACCACCACACCUCUGAGUGCAGAGCCAAAAAUGUAUGGGAGGGACCAUGUCAUGAAGAGUAUCAUAGAUGAUAUCACGGAGGGGCAAUACAGUGACAAGGCUCUAACUGUGCUUCCAGUUAUUGGUCCGGGGGGAAUUGGGAAGACAACUCUGAUACAACACAUAUAUAACAACCAGCAAGUGCGGAAUCAUUUUCCGGUCAGGAUUUGGAUAUGUGUGUCGUUUAAUUUCAACCUGGGUAAGGUGCUAGAACAGAUUAAAGAAUAUACCCUUGCGGCUGAAGGUGAAAAUGGGUGUAUGAGACCAGAAGAGCUGAUUGAACACAGAUUGAAAUCCAAGAGGUUCAUACUUGUAUUGGAUGAUAUAUGGCAGUUUACUAAUGUGGAUGACUGGGAAAAACUAUUAUUGAUACUCGGCAAGUCACAAGAAAAGGGCUCCAUGGUUCUAGUCACAACUCGGCAGAAAGAGAUAGCAGAUCAAGUUAAGAAAACUGUAGAGCCAAAAGAACUGAGUGGUUUAGAACCUGAAGAGUUUAGGAAGUUAUUCCUUGUUUAUGUCUUUGAUGCAGAGCAAUAUCCCAGUGAAAAACUUCAUUUGCGUGAGACUGGAGAUAAGAUAACAGAAAAACUAAGGUGCUCCCCUCUUGCAGCAAAGACCGUUGGUAGAUUACUGAGGACAGACCCUUGUUUGGCUCAUUGGAAAAGGGUCCUAGAAAGUAAAGAAUGGGUGAAGCAGACCAAUGGCAAUUGGAUUAUGCCUGCUUUGGAGCUUAGCUAUGACUUUCUCCCUUUCCACCUGCAACAAUGUUUUUCCUAUUCUGCAUUGUUUCCUGAAGAUUACCCUUUCAGAAGCCGUGAGCUCAUCAGCCUGUGGAUUGGACUAGAUAUUUUGAUACUUGAUGGUCAAAAUCAAACACUUGAAGACAUAGGUUUCAGAAAUUUACAGGAGUUAGUCAUCCAUGGAUUUUUCAGAGAAGAGCAAGUUGAUGGUGAUCGGUGUUAUGUUAUGCAUGACCUGCUGCAUGAUUUGGCAUUGAAGGUUGCAUCUCAUGAUUGCCUUAGUUUACGUUUCCCUGAUGUUGGAUCAGUAAAAAUUUAG
rnacentral:rRNA from 1 species